rnacentral:tRNA from 1 species
UCCCUGGAGGACUAGUGGUUAGGCCUCGGUGCUCUCGCUGCCGCGGCCAGGGUUUGAUUCCCGGCCAGGGAA